AACUCAAAGGNCUUGGCGGUGCUCUAUACCCACCUAGAGGAGCCUGUUCUAUAAUCGACACCCCCCGAUAAACCUCACCAUUUCUCGCUACUACAGCCUAUAUACCACCGCCCUCAGUUCAUCUUUCAAAAGAAUAAUAAUGAACAAAAUGAUUAAAAAUAAAAAAGUCAGGUCAAGGUGUAGCAAAUGAAAUGGAAAGAAAUGGGCUACAUUUUUUAUAAUAAAAAACACGGAAUAUUAUAUGAAAUAAAAUAUAAAGAAGGAUUUAGAAGUAAAAAGAAAAAAGAGUGUUCUUUUUAAAUUGGCAAUAAAGCACGCACACACCGCCCGUCACCCUUUUCAAAAUAUAUAAAACUUAAAUAAAUAUAUAAACUUACAAGAAAAGGUAAGUCGUAACAUGGUAAGUCUACCGGAAGGUGGCCUUAGAUAUCAAAAUAUAGCUUAAAUAAAGCAUUUUGCUUACACCAAAAAAAUAUUUGUUAAACCAAAUUAUUUUGAAUUUUAAAUCUAGCCUAAAUAUAUAAUACUAAUUCCUAAUACACAAAACAUUAUCAUAUGAUAGUAAG
rnacentral:rRNA from 1 species